UCCAAUGUAUCAUCAUUGAUAUCAAUCUUCCUACACUUUCAAAUGACCUUAACACAAAUCUUCCACUGGGAUCUCCACGAAUGGACAUCUUUGACUCAAAAUGAACCAUUUUUCAGUGAUUCGCUGGAUGUGAAAAGGGUUUUUUUCUUAUAUUUUUUUUUGUGGUUUUUCGUGUUUUGGUAGAAGGUUUUGCUCUCAAUAUAUAAUGGAGUGAAAGCGUGUAGGGUUACGAAUAUUGCGCCGUUUAAACUACCAUAUUUAAUUUAUAAUUACGCUGUUAAGGUCACA
rnacentral:lncRNA from 1 species